rnacentral:rRNA from 1 species
AUUGAACGCUGGCGGCAUGCCUUACACAUGCAAGUCGAACGGUAACAGGUCUUCGGAUGCUGACGAGUGGCGAACGGGUGAGUAAUACAUCGGAACGUGCCUAGUAGUGGGGGAUAACUACUCGAAAGAGUGGCUAAUACCGCAUGAGAUCUACGGAUGAAAGCAGGGGAUCGCAAGACCUUGUGCUACUAGAGCGGCCGAUGGCAGAUUAGGUAGUUGGUGGGAUAAAAGCUUACCAAGCCAACGAUCUGUAGCUGGUCUGAGAGGACGAUCAGCCGCAAUGGACGUUAGCACCGGCCCAGGCUCCUACGGGAGGCAGCAGGGGGGAAUGUUGGGCAGUGGGCGAAGGCCUGACCCAGCAAUGCCGCGUGCAGGAUGAAGGCCUUCGGGUUGUAAACGGCUUUUGUACGGAACGAAAAGCCCCGGGUUAAUACCCUGGGGUCAUGACGGUACCGUAAGAAUAAGCACCGGCUAACUACGUGCCAGCCGCCGCCGGAA